GACGUAGGGCGCGAGCGUUGUCCGGAUUUAUUGGGCGUAAAGAGCUCGUAGGCGGCUCGUUGCGUCGGCUGUGAAAACCCGCAGCUCAACUGUGGGCUUGCAGCUGAUACGGGCGGGCUGGAGUUCGGUAGGGGAGACUGGAAUUCCUGGUGUAGCGGUGAAAUGCGCAGAUAUCAGGAGGAACACCGGUGGCGAAGGCGGGUCUCUGGGCCGAUACUGACGCUAAGGAGCGAAAGCGUGGGGAGCGAACAGG
rnacentral:rRNA from 1 species